AUGCCUGCUUCACCACAGAGUCUGUUUGUUCUCUCUCGCUCUCUCUCUUUUCCACAUUGCUUAUCUGAAUAUAUAAGCCUGCCCUUUGCUCAGAUUUAUGGGUUGGGGCAGUGCUGUGUGUAUUUACAGUCUCCUGACCUGAAGACCUAGAGCUGAACAAGAGAAGGAGGAAACCAGGGCCCGUUCCAUAAACAGAGACAGAUAUGAGGGGGAGGAUCAAAUCAUUUUUUCUGUGGAAAGAAGUCAUACGGGAAGUGGAUUCAGGCGAGUAAAAAGUGUCUAUGAGAAUUUGGGGGGGCUAUUACAAGGCUGCUAAAAUACUUUUUUUUUAUUGGUUCUGCUGAUACCCAUUUGCCAAUCAAAUAAUUUUCUUUUCUAAUAAGGUGCAGUUCAUAGCAACAGUAUGUUCGGAUGUAACCAUUUGAAGCAGAGGCCUAGCUCAGUCUGCCAGAAAAAAAAAAGGCACCACAAAGAACAUUGAGAUGAAUGGCUCUAUUUUAUGAGCCAUAAAAGUUUUAUUCAUCUUGACACUGAAACAGGUUUAGGCAGUGAGUUGACACGCCUUAAAUAAAUAAGUGGAAUUAAUUCCCUAGCUCUUGAAACAAUAGAAGCAUGCAUGUAGCACUGAGAGCUAGCCCAUUGUUUCCUGUUGCUGCUUGAUAUUGAUAUUAUUUGUGUUUUUCUGUGCGGCUUCCUCAGGGGCCUGGUUGAUCCACUUCAAAUUCUUCCCCUGUUUUAUUAGAGGUUGAAAAAGGUUCAAGACCUGGUUGUACCACUGCUCCCACCGACAGCUAAGGAACCAGUUUGGCGUCUGGUUUGUCUGUUGUUUUACUGCUGACCUUCAAAUCAACUUUAACCCCUGACCCCUGGAGGCAUCUAUCAUGACAAGAGGCUGUUUAACACAAAUGGUGCCCAUUUAUAGGGGAAGAGAGUCAGAAGAUUUCCUUUUUAUGAAGAAUUUGGUUUUUCACCCCUCUUUUCUCAGUCACCACAGGUGAAAUCCCUCCUAGCAGCUGGCUUAUGAAAUAAUGUGAGGGGGGUGGCCCUAAUGAGCUGAAAGCACCCUCAGCUGGAGAUAAAUAUAUGCAAAUGAGAUGCACAAACAAAGGAGCCUGGACAGAGAAAUAUCUGCAAUUCCUGCAAAAUGCUGCCUGCAGCUAGAAGAUGAACAGCUUUGAUAAAAUGGUGCGGGAGAAACGGGACUUACCCUAAUGCUGCAAAGCAGGCAGUCACGGAGAACAUUUGUGUUUAAAAUGCAAUCUGAAGAAAAAAAGAAGAAGAAGAAAUAAGGAAUUAUAUAAACAAACAACAGUAUGACACUUUCAAGUUACUUCUACAAUGUUAAUUGAUUAAUACAUUGAAAGUAUAAAUCUUUUCACAUUGUUCUUGAGGGGCUAUGUCUCUUGACUCUUUAUUUAUAUCACUUAUUCUUGUCUGGCAACAUAUGUUACCGAUUUAUUAUAGUAUUUUACUGUUAGCUAGACAAAUCUAAGGGCUAGCUGAAAAGGGUAGUUUCAUCUGAUGAGUUUAACAACAAUUGCAGGGCAUCCUUUAGGGUGAGCCAAUAGGCUCUUUUGAAGCUAUAAUACUCACUAUUAACCAUUUUGAUGCUGAAAUAUUUUUAUUGCUAAAGUUUGGUCUUUCUACAUGUGUGCCUCCUUUUUGUUUCAAAUAUAUACAAAACUACAUAUACAUCAUUGUUUGGCCAACAUUCACCUAACAAAUGGUUUUCCUGUAUGUAUCUCAGACCAUCUUGCAAGUUAUUGACAUAUAUUAGAAGUUUGUAUUGAAAAAAAUAAGUAUUCGGACCGAUGGGAAACAUAUUUUAGUGAACAGUCAUCAACUAAUUCUAUACUGCAUUACAAAUGCAAACAAAUAUUAAUUUGUGUUUAAGCACUCAAAAUUUCUCUAGUAUAGUUAGUUACUGACAAUCAGAAAGAGAAUUCUUAGAAUUUUUUCCUACCAAGAAUGCACCCUAUAAAAUGUAAAUUUUUGAGUGGAUGCACCAACAAUUAACAAAGUCUUGAGUAAAUUAGGGUCCAGCCAGGUUUGUGUUUUACUUCUACAUGUAAUGUUUAAAUGACUUGUUCUGAAAUAAAAUAUUGACUUUCCCAGCUUUGUUCUUUAUUAAUUUUGAAUUGAAAGUAACACAAACAGCCUUGUUUCCGUGAGGAGAAAUGUCUUCUUUCCUGUUCUGAUUUUCAAAAUGUCAGAUUUUAACCAUCACAGAUAAGUUCAUUUAUUUAUAAAAAUUGAAAUGAGCACCAAUACAUUAAUAAAUAACAUUUCAGAGUCUUGGGGGAGGGGGGAGAACACUGUCGUCCUACAAAAAGAAAUAAGAUUGAAAAGUAACUGCUCCAAACUGGUUAACACAACUAGACUACCCUUUUUGAUAUUCAGAUAACAGGGGUUUGACUCAAGGCCAAAAUAAGCCUGAAAGUUUUUUCAGUGCUGAAACUCCAUCUUGAAUGUCUAGCAGCCAACAGGUUCCCAGAGCCUACCAGUUGUGUGGACAUAUUUAGUAAUAGCAUAUUACAUCUGUAAAUCUCAAUCCCUGGCACCCAGAGAUUAACUCAGUUCAUUAUACCUACCGAUGUAUUCUAGCAUGGGAUAUAUAAGAUAACCACCGAGAUGGGGGCAUUGAGACCCUUGUAAUACCAAGGAAUGAAGGGAUCAGAUAAGGACAGACUUGUAACCUUCACUCUGAGUUUCCUUGUUCUUGGGGGUUAAAUCAGAUCCUUGGUGUUAUAUAAAUCUACUGUAACUCUUUGUAUUUUAAUUUCCUUUGUAUCUUUAUAGCUCUAGUCUCAAAACCAGAAAAGCCCCUCACAUGAAAUUUUCAUGAAAGCACAUGAUUAAAGUAGCUAUGAUCUAAUGAAUGUUAGUUAAAUAUAGCAAAUGUAAAUAUGUAGGAAUCAUAAAUAAAUCCAACUAAAUGCUUUAAAAGGGGAGUUUUGACUCAAUAGAUGCAGCAACUUUUCUCAUGUCAUUUGUGGAUUCUUGACAAAUUAUCUCACAACAUAGUAUAUUGGCAUAGUAAGUGCUGUUUUAGUGGGUCGAGGUAAUAAACAAUAGCUGAUUUUCAAAUGAUAAGAGCUCAUCUGUUAUCAAAUUAUAUUUAUUUUUAAUCAUGAAAAUAGCCAAACAUUUCCAUUAUGGAUAAAAGUCUUGUGGGAAAUUACACGCACUUAUUUGAGUUGUAAUAGUAGUGCAAAAUCAGCUUUGAAAUGGGCACCUUUUUAAUGAAAUUUCUGUAAAUAGUCCAUUUUUCCACCAAAAACUUUAUUCAUACCCCAGCUGACCUCAUGCAAUGACUUUCCACCUACACGGAAUCUUUGCAAUAUAGGUCUAAGCUUCUAAAAACCAGUUCUUACCAUGGAAACACUGAGAGUCAUUUAACUGAAGUGGUACCAUUAAUAUUGCUGUAAUCAAGGGAUUGAGGUCUUGAUUUUAUUUUUAUUUUCAUUUAGGCAAGUGUCACUAAUGUUCUGGAUAAAUGUCAAAGGCUGUGGUUCAGUUAGGCUAUUAGAACCUUGUGUUGCAAUUAUUACUCCUAUUCAACUCUAUAUAUAAAUAUGCUUCUGGCAAUCUCAUGAUUAAACUCCUGGGUUUUUUUGUUUAGGGAUUUCUCGCUCGCUUGCUCACUCGCUUUCUGUUUUGUCCAUCACCUUGGUUUCUUUCCCCUGUUUUGACCUGCACUUUUUCUGGAUCAGACACUGGCAGGUUGAGAGGUAAUAAGAACCAGAUGGACAUAGUGCAGAAAUUGCCCAAAUGGGUAUGGGAAUGUGGGGAGCUGUCAGGCAUGCAGAGAAGCUGGAAUUUUUCAGCAAUAAAAUGGGAUUUAUCACCACUCUACCACAGUCAUUGCCGACAACCGUUUACCUUGACAGAAACCCCAUUCCAAUAGGCCACUCCGAUGCAGAUUUUUUUUCCCAAAGAGUGAUGAUUGGUAUUUGUUCUAAGGCUCAAAUGGCCUGCACUAAAGGUGAAGCAUUAGGCCAAAGUCCUGUAUUCCCUACUGAGGCAAUGAACCUGCUAAAAUAAGUUCCUUCCACAAUAGCUGUGUAAUUGAAACCAGAAAGUGAGAGAAUUUGAUAAAUUGCUUGACCCUGAAGGAAUGCUAAGGUCAUAAAUUUUCAUUGCAUUUCCCCCUCUUUUUAAAUUUUUUUAAUAUAUUGAUUAAUUUAGUAUUUGUAUCAGAAUUUCAACAAGUUUACAGAUCAUCAUCAGCGGUUGCCUAUUGGGAAAGGAUGGGAACUUAACAAUUAAAAAGGCCUAGUGGAUUCCCACCUUACGUCUUCCCAAGAUGGAUCAAGGAUACAAAGUAUUAAUGAAUGGCAGUUCUCAUGUAUUGCAUCUCAGGAAUACACCACAUAAAUUGCUAACAACCUGAAAUGGGAACUUUAGAAAGUGCAAUCCAUUAAAAAGAUUGUAACAAAGAAAUCACACUGUACUUCAUGAAUGAUAAAGUGUAAAAAGGCUUGCAAAUUACUUACAAUGAUCAAACAUUCAUUUCCACUCUUACCGUUUUUGUUCAUGGUACCACAGACAUUACAACAAUUGCAUUUUACCUUGAAAUGAUUGUCACUGGUAUUAUUAAAUAAAACAAUUUUCUUUUUCUUUUCUUUUUUAAUUUUUUUUUACCUCAGUAGCUUACUGUGGAACAUAUCAGCAAACUUCUUUGUACCUACCACCCCCACUAAAAAGACAAGCUGAAAUACCAGGCUAAGAUAGAAAUUGCGAUGCUGGACUGUACAAAAGAACUAUCUUUAAACUGUAGUAGUUUAAUUUUUAUAACUGCAUUAAUUGUGUUAUAUUAUAGUAACUGGUCUUUAUAAUCUUGCUGCUUUCUCCUGGUUUAACUAUAACAUUUCAGUGGCAGUAAUCCCACCAUAGCACUUGGAUAAAGCAUUACACUUUACAUAGCCAUACAUACUUAACCCAACAUUCAGCAAGUUAAAUAAUCAUUAGCACAGUAACCCAUUGCUAUCAAAAAUGUCCUGGUCCUCUAAAUUUUAAAUUAAUGGUCUGUCUUCCUAGCAGCGUAUGUCUGGUUUUUGAACCACUUCAGCAUGAAGUCAGGGACAUUUUAUCAGUACACAUUAGACAACUUUUAUUAUUGACAUUUCAAGAUUAAAAAGUCACAGAGGGGAAUAGUUGUUGCUGAAUUGUUUCGUCUCUAAAUCUCUGAUUUUAAAACAAUCCAGUCUGAGUGCUAAUUAUCAGCCAACAUUACAGUGUACAAGCUGUAGGUAUGUAGCGGGGUUGGUGUGCUUUGAAAAGUUUUUUUCUUCCAAAACCAAGUAAAUAGGAUGAUGGGGGCAAAAGUUAUAAGAUGCAUUUUGUAAAAUGUCAGCUAAAGGACAGUGAAUAAUUUAUAUUUGUAUACUCCACUUUCAUUUAAUUUUUCAAAAAAAAGGAAGUUUGCCAUUUAUGUAUAUAUAUGUGUGUGUGUGUUUCCCCUUUGAGAGUUCACAUUUUUUUAUAUUGUAACUGUUUAUUUUGGAACCAAAAAUCGCCCCCCCCCUUUAAAUGAAGAAGUAGGGGUUUGGGUCAUAAAAAUUCUUAAAACAGUUAUUUCUACAGAGAAUGAAGAAAUAUCAGCUCUGUUUGCAACUGGAGAGGAAAAAAGAUAAAAACUUGGAAUAUAACCUAAAAAUGCAAAGUAAAAUGACAUAUUAAAAUGAGAAUUUUCAUAUGUUACUGUAUAAAUAUUUUAAUAAAAGUUCUAAAC